UACAGAGGUCCCAAGCGUUGUUCGGAUUCACUGGGCGUAAAGGGCGCGUAGGCGGUCGGGCAAGUCUGAUGUGAAAUCUCACAGCUUAACUGUGAAACUGCAUUGGAUACGAUCCGGCUCGAGGAAUGGAGGGGAGACUGGAAUACUUGGUGUAGCAGUGAAAUGCGUAGAUAUCAAGUGGAACACCAGUGGCGAAGGCGAGUCUCUGGACAUUACCUGACGCUGAGGCACGAAAGCCAGGGGAGCAAACGGG
rnacentral:rRNA from 1 species